AAUAGAUACCCGGGUAGUCCACGCCGUAAACGAUGAGUGCUAAGUGUUAGAGGGUUUCCGCCCUUUAGUGCUGCAGCUAACGCAUUAAGCACUCCGUCUGGGGAGUACGGUCGCAAGACUGAAACUCAAAGGAAUUGACGGGGGCCCGCACAAGCGGUGGAGCAUGUGGUUUAAUUCGAAGCAACGCGAAGAACCUUACCAGGUCUUGACAUCCCACUGACCGGUAUAGAGAUAUACCUUUCCCUUCGGGGACAGUGGUGACAGGUGGUGCAUGGUUGUCGUCAGCUCGUGUCGUGAGAUGUUGGGUUAAGUCCCGCAACGAGCGCAACCCUUGAUCUUAGUUGCCAGCAUUUAGUUGGGCACUCUAAGGUGACUGCCGGUGACAAACCGGGGGAAGGUGGGGAUGACGUCAAAUCAUCAUGCCCCUUAUGACCUGGGCUACACACGUGCUACAAUGGAUGGUACAAAGGGCUGCAAGACUGCGAAGUCAAGCCAAUCCCAUAAAACCAUUCUCAGUUCGGAUUGCAGGCUG
rnacentral:rRNA from 1 species